UUUAAGUAAAAAAAGUUGUGAAAAAAAAUAAAAAAAUGAAUAGUAUUUGUCAUGGCAAAGGGCAACUGCUGGAAACACACUUUGCUGGGGGGCUAGGACAGCCACGAUUCAUGUGAAAUAGUAGCUGCCCUAGGGCUCCUCUUGCCAUGGCAAUGGGCAAGCUGCUAGAAAUGCUCUUAAAGUAAUGGUCGCUGUAAUACAACAGUUGUAUGUAUAGCCACAUAUCCUUUUCUUGCGCAAGUUUUUUUCGUUUCCCAUUGAGUGAGGACAUUCAUCUUAAAGUAAUGGCCGAUGUAAUACAACAGUUGUAUGUAUAGCAACAUAUCCUUUUCUUGCAUAUAUCUGAUGAGGACGGGGAUGAGGAUUCCCAGAAAUUUCAUACUAGGGAUGGGGUGGGGACAGGGAAGGACAUGGGGAACGAAGACGCGGAUGAUAUUGCCAUACCCAACACCUAACCGGCCAGUUGACAUCCCUAAACACAGCACCCGGUACGCCUUCUCAUUUCUCUCAAGCCGCUGCCACCACCCCAAUCACGAUGAGCCAUUUCUAUCUAUCUAUUUAUCUCUCUC
rnacentral:lncRNA from 1 species